AGGCAAUAGAUACCCAGGUAGUCCACGCCGUAAACUAUGCUUGCUAGCUGUUAUCAGUAUCGACCCUGGUAGUAGCGAAGCUAACGCGUUAAGCAAGCCGCCUGUGGAGUACGAGCGCAAGCUUAAAACAUAAAGGAAUUGACGGGGACCCGCACAAGCGGUGGAGCGUGUUGUUUAAUUCGACGGUAAGCGAAGAACCUUACCAAGGCUUGACAUCCUGCCAAGCUCUCUGAAAGGAGAGUGUGCCUUCGGGCCGCAGUGACAGGUGAUGCAUGGCCGUCGUCAGCUCGUGUCGUGAGAUGUUUGGUUUAAGUCCAUCAACGAGCGCAACCCUUAUAGUCAGUUGAAUUUCUCUGGCUAGACUGCCCCGGUAACGGGGUAGGAAGGAGGGGAUGAUGUCAGGUCAUUAUUUCCCUUACGGCCUUGGGCUACAACACGCUACAAUGGCCGGUACAAAGGGCAGCUAAGUCGCGAGACGGAGCAAAUCCCA
rnacentral:rRNA from 1 species